AGGCAUGCUAAUGGUGGCUAAACUGCCUGGGGAGGGAUGACUAAGGCAUGCUAAUGGGGCUAAACUGCCUGGGGAGGGAUGACUAAGGCAUGCUAAUGGUGGCUAAACUGCCUGGGGAGGUAUGACUAAGGCAUGCUAAUGGUGGCUAAACUGCCUGUGGAGGUAUGACUAAGGCAUGCUAAUGGUGGCUAAACUGCCUGGGGAGGGAUGACUAAGGCAUGCUAAUGGUGGCUAAACUGCCUGGGGAGGGAUGACUAAGGCAUGCUAAUGGUGGCUAAACUGCCUGGGGAGGUAUGACUAAGGCAUGCUAAUGGUGGCUAAACUGCCUGUGGAGGGAUGACUAAGGCAUGCUAAUGGUGGCUAAACUGCCUGGGGAGGUAUGACUAAGGCAUGCUAAUGGUGGCUAAACUGCCUGGGGAGGUAUGAC